rnacentral:rRNA from 1 species
ACACAUGCAAGUCGAGCGGGGACUUCGGUCCUAGCGGCGAACGGGUGAGGAAUGCUUGGGAAUCUGCCCAGUAGCGGGGGAUAACGUUUCGAAAGGAACGCUAAUACCGCAUACGCCCUACGGGGGAAAGGGGGGGAUCUUCGGACCUCUCACUAUUGGAUGAGCCCAAGUCGGAUUAGCUAGUUGGUGAGGUAAAGGCUCACCAAGGCGACGAUCCGUAGCUGGUCUGAGAGGAUGAUCAGCCACACUGGAACUGAGACACGGUCCAGACUCCUACGGGAGGCAGCAGUGGGGAAUAUUGGACAAUGGGCGAAAGCCUGAUCCAGCCAUGCCGCGUGUGUGAAGAAGGCCUUCGGGUUGUAAAGCACUUUAAGCGAGGAGGAAGGGCUCUAGGUUAAUACCUUGGAGCAUUGACGUUACUCGCAGAAUAAGCACCGGCUAACUCUGUGCCAGCAGCCGCGGUAAUACAGAGGGUGCAAGCGUUAAUCGGAAUUACUGGGCGUAAAGCGCGCGUAGGCGGUUACGUAAGUUGGGUGUGAAAUCCCCGGGCUCAACCUGGGAAUUGCACUCAAAACUGCGUGGCUAGAGUGUGGGAGAGGAAGGUAGAAUUCCAGGUGUAGCGGUGAAAUGCGUAGAUAUCUGGAGGAAUAUCCGAUGGCGAAGGCAGCCUUCUGGCCUAACACUGACGCUGAGGUGCGAAAGCAUGGGGAGCAAACAGGAUUAGAUAC